rnacentral:rRNA from 1 species
UGCAGUCGAGCGGCAGCGCGGGGGCAACCCUGGCGGCGAGCGGCGGACGGGUGAGGAAUGCGUCGGAAUCUGCCUUGUUGUGGGGGAUAACGUAGGGAAACUUACGCUAAUACCGCAUAAGACCGCGAGGUGAAAGUGGGGGACCGCAAGGCCUCACGCGACAAGAUGAGCCGACGCCGGAUUAGCUAGUUGGUGGGGUAAAGGCCCACCAAGGCGACGAUCCGUAGCUGGUCUGAGAGGAUGAUCAGCCACACUGGGACUGAGACACGGCCCAGACUCCUACGGGAGGCAGCAGUGGGGAAUAUUGGACAAUGGGCGCAAGCCUGAUCCAGCCAUGCCGCGUGGGUGAAGAAGGCCUUCGGGUUGUAAAGCCCUUUUGUUGGGAAAGAAAUCCUGUCGGUUAAUACCUAGCGGGGAUGACGGUACCCAAAGAAUAAGCACCGGCUGACUUCGUGCCAGCAGCCGCGGUAAUACGAAGGGUGCAAGCGUUACUCGGAAUUACUGGGCGUAAAGCGUGCGUAGGCGGUUCGUUAAGUCUGUCGUGAAAGCCCUGGGCUCAACCUGGGAAUUGCGAUGGAUACUGGCGAGCUAGAGUACGGUAGAGGAUGGUGGAAUUCCCGGUGUAGCGGUGAAAUGCGUAGAGAUCGGGAGGAACACCC